CUCCAUAUGUAUGGUUUAUUUUUUGGGGCACCAUUUGAGAGUAGCUGGCAUUUCCUAAUAACAAAGACAUUCUCUUACAUUACCACAGUGCAGACUUAUUAGCCCCAUUUUAAAGAUGAGGAAACUGAGGUGCAGAAGCUGAUCUCUCCUAGAAUCCUUCUUUGAAAGAUGAGGAAACAGGUUCAGAGAAAGUAGGAUCCCUGCCCAAAGCCAGUCAGCUGGGAGGGAUUGAGCUGGGAUUCAAACAAAGUUUACCAUCAAGUGAUGUUGGGCAACAUAAUUAAAUAACGAAAAGAUGUGUUCCAGCCCAUGAAUUCCAACUCCUCUUAACACAAAAUCUCUGACUAGCAAACUGAAAAGGGGAGAUGAAGACAGGAAAGAAAAGAAAAAGAGUAAGAAAAGAACUGCCUCUUGUCCAGUGAAAAGAAACAAGCAUCAUUCCUCUUUCACCCGAUCUUUUUCACUUACAUCCUCAAAUGUAGAGAAAACAAGUUUGGAAGGAAAAAAUAAUAAUA